UUUCUGCCAUGUCGAGCGUAACAAUCGCACACAUUUCAACUAAAAAAAAUUAUGAACUAAAAUCUUUUGUUUUUUUUUUUAAUUUUGACAGUAGGAUUUUUAAAUUGCUCUUUAUUAGCCCUACAUUUACUGUUAAGGUUGAUUUUGAGACGGUUUUCAUUUUCAAGAUAAUUGCAAAAAACCAAGACAUUCGCACGGGACAAAAAUGGAUGUCGUUUUUGGAGACAACAAUUCAAACGGCGAUUUCAGCGAAUUAACUGGAGACUGCUCCACAAAUGUUUCCUAAACGUCCGGUAACAUAUAGGCCCGACCAUGCCGUAAGACCAGCAUAAAGGACUGACGCAGCUUGCUCAAUUGAUAAGGAAGUUGGUGCAAUUGACAACUAAAAUAUAAGGUCACCCCUUAGUCACAGAAAGAAAAUAUAUUGGUCAUUCGUUGGGUCACCGUAUCGUUACAUAAAUUUGGUUCAAUGGUCUCCACGGUUUCAUACCACAGCUCCACCCACUUUUUCGUUUAAAAAUCAAAAAAAUUAAAUUGUUGUUUUAUUUUUCUUUUUAUUUAUUUAAUUGUAUGAGGUAU